UACGAAGGGGGCUAGCGUUGUUCGGAAUUACUGGGCGUAAAGGGCGCGCAGGCGGCCCUCCAAGUCAGGCGUGAAAGCCCCGGGCUCAACCCGGGAACAGCGCUUGAGACUGGGGGGCUUGAGUUCGGGAGAGGAGAGUGGAAUUCCCAGUGUAGAGGUGAAAUUCGUAGAUAUUGGGGAAGAAACACCGGUGGCGAAGGCGGCUCUCUGGACCGACACUGACGCUG
rnacentral:rRNA from 1 species